rnacentral:lncRNA from 1 species
CCGUAAAUUUUUUUUGAAAAUUUUUGGAAAAUCUUAACCUCAAACCCUUAAUAGAUCUAUCUGUAAAGAGUGUGUUCACCAAUUUUCAGAUUAAUUGAUACAAAACUAACCGAAUAAGACCGUUUUAAAAAUUUUUGGUUUUCAACCCUUGUUAAAAAUAGGCUAUAUCUCAUAAAAUAAUCGAGAUCUAAAAAAAA